CCAACAGCGUAUAUUAAAGUUGUUGCAGUUAAAAAGCUCGUAGUUGAAUUUCGGGAUCAGUUGGUCGGUCGUGCCUCGGUACGUACUGGUCAAAUUGAUUCCUACCUUCUGACGAACCACGAUGUCAUUAAUUUGGUGUCGUGGGAAAUCAGGACUGUUACUUUGAAAAAAUUAGAGUGUUUAAAGCAGGCUCGCGCUUGAAUACAUUAGCAUGGAAUAAUGAAAUAGGACGUUUGAUUCUAUUUUGUUGGUUUCUAGGAUCGACGUAAUGAUUAAUAGGGAUAGUUGGGGGCAUUAGUAUUCAAUUGUCAGAGGUGAAAUUCUUGGAUUUAUUGAAGACUAACUACUGCGAAAGCAUUUGCCAAGGAUGUUUUCAUUAAUCAAGAACGAAAGUUAGGGGAUCGAAGACGAUCAGAUACCGUCGUAGUCUUAACCAUAAACUAUGCCGACUAGGGAUCGGAUGAUGUUAAUUUUUUAAUGACUCAUUCGGCGCCUUACG
rnacentral:rRNA from 1 species